rnacentral:rRNA from 1 species
CAGCCGUAAACUAUGCUCGCUAGGUGUCAGGGACGGUGCGACCGUUUCUGGUGCCGCAGGGAAGCCGUGAAGCGAGCCACCUGGGAAGUACGGUCGCAAGGCUGAAACUUAAGGAUUGCGGGAGCACCACAACGGGUGGAGCCUGCGGUUUAAUUGGACUCAACGCCGGGAAGCUCACCGGAUAAGACAGCGGAAUGAUUGCCGGGCUGAAGACCCUGCAUGACCAGCUGAGAGGUGGUGCAUGGCGUAGUCGUGU